AUUGAACGCUGGCGGCAUGCCUUACACAUGCAAGUCGAACGGCAGCACGGGGCAACCUGGUGGCGAGUGGCGAACGGGUGAGUAAUGCAUCGGAACGUACCUUUCAGUGGGGGAUAACGUAGCGAAAGUUACGCUAAUACCGCAUAUUCUGUGAGCAGGAAAGCAGGGGAUCGCAAGACCUUGCGCUGAUUGAGCGGCCGAUGUCAGAUUAGCUAGUUGGUGAGGUAAAGGGUCACCAAGGCGACGAUCUGUAGCGGGUCUGAGAGGAUGAUCCGCCACACUGGAGGUGAGACACGGUCCAGACGCCUACGGGAGGCAGCAGUGGGGAAGUUUGGACAAUGGGGGCAACCCUGAUCCAGCCAUGCCGCGUGAGUGAAGAAGGCCUUCGGGUUGUAACGCUCUUUCGGCCGGGAAGAAAUCGCACGGGCUAAUACCCUGUGUGGAUGACGGUACCGGAAUAAGAAGCACCGGCUAACUACGUGCCAGCCGCCGCGGUAAAAC
rnacentral:rRNA from 1 species